UCUGUUGGAGGCUUACAAUUGCCAAGGGAAGGCUGAGACAGUAAAUUCUGGUUAAUUUCUGACACUUUAAGCUUUUACACAUUAGCACCUACCCAUUCGCCAUCCCAGCCACAUGGCAGGCAGCCAGGCAUAUUUUCCUGAAAGGGGAGUGAAGGAUCUUCAGCAAGCUCUACAUUUUUCCCUGAUGCUCCCAGAAAAGUCUAGUUUUGUUUGGGGAUUAUCCAUGAGAAAUUUGAAGAAAGGACAUCUUCUAUAUGAGUGACAAACAUCAGUAAAAAGGUCUGCUCGCCCUCUCUGCGAACUUCAGACUCAAGAAUAUAAACAUCAAUGCUUCAAUGAAUUUCCAGCCUGCCAGCUUACCCUGUGGAUUUCAGACUCUCCAGCCCUCAUAAUCUUGUCAGCCAAUUCUUUAAAAUAUCUCUGUCUCUCUGUCUCUCUUGUACACACAUACUCUCUAGGGAAACCUGACUAAUACAGUAACUUCAUUUUCGAUUAGCGAUGAAGUUCAGAAAAUUCAUAUUUUCCCAAAAAGCCAAAUGACGCUUCCCAAGAGCUGAAGGUGGAUUCUUCUCUUUGAAAUCCCUUUCAUAGGCUGUCAACUAAUGCCUCAAAUCAUAUUUAAGUCAGAGAUAAAGCACAUAUUUUCUUAUUUGCUCAUAACCUUCCCCAAAUGCAUUGCUAAACAUUCUUUCUCUGGAGUCAAACGAUAUUCUGCAGCAUAUAAAUGGAAGGAACUCAUGGACACAGGUGUCUUCCGGCCCCCACCCUUCUAAAGUUCCAAGGUUGUGUGUGGGGUUAAUAACCAUUAUGAUGAGGUGGGAGGUCCCCCCCAUAGUGUCUCCAUAGCAACCAGUCCAGCUACAUCCAACAUUAGCUGUUGAAACACAAUGGGUCCGCCAAAACCUGACCAGGAAAAAGUUUACAUCAAACCUAUUGUCCUGGGGCAACUGGACGACUCAGUCAGUUAAGCGUCUGACUUCAGCUCAGGUCAUGAUCCUGGGGUCCUGAGAUCAAGCCCCAAGUCAAGCUCCCCACUCAGCAGGGAGUCUGCUUGUCCCUCUGUCCCUCCCCCCACUUGUUCACUCUCACUCUCUCUCUCAAACAAAUAAAUAAAAUAUUUUAAAAAAAACAUAUAGUCCUGGCUGCUCAAGAAAAGGAUACACUUUCCUCAUAAACUUGCUUUGCUUGGGGCAUACCAGAAGAGAGGAAAUGAAAACACUUGAAAUAAUGUCUGUUACAAUUAAUAAUCUAAUGAAGACUCAUACAUAAAAUUGCAUGUGGAUAUGUGUGUAUUUAUAUUAUGCUGUUUUGUAUUGCAGAGUACAUAUUCUUUAAUUCCUCUGAAUGAAAACGCACAGCAGGCCACUCUAGGGCCUGUUUCUGCCCUGACAGAUAAAUCAAGUUCCUGGUCCUAAUUAACAUCAAAAGCCUAUGGCUCAGGGGCACCUGGGUAGCUCAAUCAGUUACGUGUCUGCCUUCUGCUCAGGUCAUGACUCAGGGUCUCAGGAUUG